GACGAACGCUGGCGGCGUGCUUAACACAUGCAAGUCGAACGGAAAGGCCCUGCUUUUGUGGGGUGCACGAGUGGCGAACGGGUGAGUAACACGUGAGUAACCUGCCCCUGACUUUGGGAUAACUUCAGGAAACUGGGGAUAAUACAGGAUAUGAGAUACUGCUGCAUGGUGGGGUUUGGAAAGUUUCGGCGGUUGGGGAUGGACUCGCGGCUUAUCAGCUUGUUGGUGGGGUAGUGGCUUACCAAGGCUUUGACGGGUAGCCGGCCUGAGAGGGUGACCGGCCACAUUGGGACUGAGAUACGGCCCAGACUCCUACGGGAGGCAGCAGUGGGGAAUAUUGCACAAUGGGCGGAAGCCUGAUGCAGCAACGCCGCGUGCGGGAUGACGGCCUUCGGGUUGUAAACCGCUUUCGCCUGUGACGAAGCGUGAGUGACGGUAAUGGGUAAAGAAGCACCGGCUAACUACGUG
rnacentral:rRNA from 1 species